UGGGGAAUAUUGGACAAUGGGCGAAAGCCUGAUCCAGCCAUGCCGCGUGUGUGAAGAAGGUCUUCGGAUUGUAACGCACUUUAAGUUGGGAGGAAGGGCAGUAAGCGAAUACCUUGCUGUUUUGACGUUACCGACAGAAUAAGCACCGGCUAACUCUGUGCCAGCAGCCGCGGUAAUACAGAGGGUGCAAGCGUUAAUCGGAAUUACUGGGCGUAAAGCGCGCGUAGGUGGUUCGUUAAGUGGAAUGUGAAAGCCCCGGGCUCAACCUGGGAACUGCAUCCAAUACUGGCGAGCUAGAGUAGGGCAGAGAGUGGUGGAAUUUCCUGUGUAGCGAUGAGAUGCGUAGAUAUAGGAAGGAAAACCAGUGGCGAAGGCGACCACCUGGGCUCAUACUGACACUGAGGUGCGAAAGCGUGGGGAGCAAACAGG
rnacentral:rRNA from 1 species